UACCCCCCAUCCGCUCAUUGUUCCUGCUUUUGUUUUAAUCUCUCUACCGUACGAAGCAAUCCCCAUCCAAUCUCUCUCCAUCUUCGUUACUUCUCUUCCUCAACCGAAGCCCACACACUCCGCUCACGCCAACCUCGAGAUCUUCAAUCAAGUUGCUUCUCUCUCGCGCUGCCACCGAAGACCCAAAGUCUAGCAUCUUCGUUCGUGCCUUGCCAACAGCCACGAAGACCUGCAGCCACGCCAACCAGUUGCUUCCUCGUCCAUGUGAAUUUCCCCGACGCCACGAAGACAGGAGCUGUUGCCGCGCCAGCACGCCCACCGACCCACUCAGCUUCUCCACGCAUCCAAGCUCGGCUUCUUCAGUCAACAACAACAACAAGCGAAGCCUUUGGUUGACCGAGCAGCCUUGCCUUGCUGCCACUUGGCAGCGUCUGCUCUUUGUUCGGUCAACAAAGCCGAGUUGAAGACCACCGAGCGAAGCUGCUUCUCCUCUUCGCCACGCCAAUUGAAGCCAGCGAAGUCUGCAGCAGUCAGUCCGCCCAUUUCUCCUCUUGCGUGUGUCUUCGGUUAGCUGAAGUCCAUGCGCCCAGCAACCGAGUCAACCGAAGUCGCACGCCAGCGAUGCCUAGUCCACCGAUCCUUCAGCAAGCCCACGCAAACCAGCAGCCAGCUCAGCCCACCUUCAGGCAAUUUCGGCCCAGCAAAGAGGUCAAGCCAGCCCAAGAAGCCAGUCCAGCUCAGCCCAUAUUCACAACAUCAGUUUGGCCCAAGUUCAAGCCUAGUUCAGUUGUUUUAGUCUUGAAGCCCAGGUCAACUCAGCCCCAAGAAUUUGAGCAGGCCCAAGCCCAAAGUUUCUGCGAGCUUGCUAGGUUUUAGGCCCAGCCCGAGAGUUCGUCGUUGCGUCGCCGUCGUGGUGAUUCGGUCUCUGCUUUUAUCAAGUGAGUUUUACUCACUAAUACUUUAUUAGUUUGCUAAUUAUGCUUAGGGUUGGUUAGAUUUAAUUAAGUGCAAUUAUGUGGUUAGAUUAGGUUAGAACAAUUAAAUUAGUGACUUAAUGAUGCAUGUUAGGUGGUUAGACUUAGUCAUUAGCAAGUAGAGAGCCUUUAAUAUUUAUUGAAUGUAUAUCGGGAUUUUUCCCGACCCGUUUCGGGCUCCAAUGGGCAUAAAUUGGAUUUUUAAUAUUUAUUUAUUUAAUUUUCGAAAUUAAUUAUUUAAUUAAUUAUUUUUCCGGAAAUUCAACCGGGAUGGCCGGUGACCGGAAUUUCAUGCUGAUUGUCGUGGUGCAGUCCAUUUAUUUAAUUAAGCUUCAAUUUAUAUGGAAUCGAUUUAAAUUGUGAAAUUUGAGGAUUUGUCCUAAAUUGUUUGUUAUUGAAUAUUUGAUUGGUAGAUGGCCGAGUAUGGGUAUAUAGCACCAGUUAUGUUAAUGGGCUAUAAAGUAGAGAGAAUGGUGAAAGCUAAUUGAGAAUGUUAUUGGCUGAGACCAAUCAGGUACAAUAUUAUAGGACAUACGUGGUUCGGUGAUUGAAAGUAUUACUGGCGAAAACGGCGCCUUAAAUAAUGCACGUGAAUGACUUAUAGACAAACGUGGUUAGGUGGUUAAGGAAAUAUCACUGGUGAAAAUGACGCCUUAAAGAACUCAUGAUAUUGUCUAUUGCCGAUGUCACCUUGGCGAAAACGGCGCCCUAGAAAGGACACGUGGUUUGGUGAUCGAGGAUAUCACUGGUGAAAACGGCGCCUUAAAGAAUGCAUGGUGUCGGUGAUCGGUAUGUCAUUGGCGAAAACGAUGCCCGAGAAACACAUGUGAUUUGGUGAAGGAGUAUACCAUUAGGGAAUUAUGGUAUGCGUGGGAAUGACCUAGAGAUGGUUCGAAUGACAUGUAAUCGACUAGGUCGAUUGGUCAAUGCUUGAUUGGAUGUCGUGAAUUGUUUGAAUAUCUGAGGCCAAGGUAAGUUCUUUGAUCUGUGCGUGUUUAGGCAGCCCAUAGUGUAUUGGCUUGCUAAUCGGGUCUUAGGGGGUAGAACUCACUGAGACGUGGUCUCAUUGGUUAUUGAAUAACCAUUUCAGGACCUUGAGGGGGAGCCAAGGAGGAGGAACCUAAGGAGGAGUGCAUUGAUGUGAACCUGAGGAGGAGAAAGAUUUUUGAAGCAGAAGAUGAUCCGGAAAGGGAUCUUGAGUACAACCCGGAUGUGGAUUAAGAUCCCAUCCCUUUUGUGAACCCUGUCUUAGUGUAGAUAGGUGUAAGAAGUAUGCUGUGAAUAGUAUUGUAAAUAUACUAUGAGUUGUGCUGUUAAUAAAAGUGUAGUUGUGAAUUUCAAUAUGAAAAAUAUGACCUGCUUUUCU
rnacentral:lncRNA from 1 species